rnacentral:rRNA from 1 species
AUUGAACGCUGGCGGCAGGCUUAACACAUGCAAGUCGAGCGGGGGAAGGUAGCUUGCUACCGGACCUAGCGGCGGACGGGUGAGUAAUGCUUAGGAAUCUGCCUAUUAGUGGGGGACAACAUCUCGAAAGGGAUGCUAAUACCGCAUACGUCCUACGGGAGAAAGCAGGGGAUCUUCGGACCUUGCGCUAACAGAUGAGCCUAAGUCGGAUUAGCUAGUUGGUGGGGUAAAGGCCUACCAAGGCGACGAUCUGUAGCGGGUCUGAGAGGAUGAUCCGCCAGACUGGGACUGAGACACGGCCCAGGCUCCUACGGGAGGCAGCAGUGGGGAAUAUUGGACAAUGGGGGGAACCCUGAUCCAGCCAUGCCGCGUGUGUGAAGAAGGCCUUAUGGUUGUAAAGCACUUUAAGCGAGGAGGAGGCUACUCUAGUUAAUACCUAGGGAUAGUGGACGUUACUCGCAGAAUAAGCACCGGCUAACUCUGUGCCAGCAGCCGCAGUAA